rnacentral:rRNA from 1 species
GGUAGUGUAGUUAAUAGCUGCAUUAUUUGACGUUAGCGACAGAAGAAGCACCGGCUAACUCCGUGCCAGCAGCCGCGGUAAUACGGAGGGUGCGAGCGUUAAUCGGAAUUACUGGGCGUAAAGCGCAUGCAGGUGGUUUGUUAAGUCAGAUGUGAAAGACCCGGGGCGUCAACCUCGGAAUAGCAUUUGAAACUGGCAGACUAGAGUACUGUAGAGGGGGGUAGGAAUUUCAGGUGUAGCGGUGAAAUGCGUAGAGAUCUGAAGGAAUACCGGUGGCGAAGGCGGCCCCCUGGACAGAUACUGACACUCAGAUGCGAAAGCGUGGGGAGCAAACAGGAUUAGAUACCCUGGUAG